rnacentral:rRNA from 1 species
UACGUAGGGUGCAAGCGUUGUCCGGAAUUAUUGGGCGUAAAGAGCUCGUAGGCGGUCUGUCGCGUCGGCUGUGAAAACCCGGGGCUCAACCCCGGGCCUGCAGUCGAUACGGGCGGACUAGAGUGUGGUAGGGGAGACUGGAAUUCCUGGUGUAGCGGUGAAAUGCGCAGAUAUCAGGAGGAACACCGGUGGCGAAGGCGGGUCUCUGGGCCAUAACUGACGCUGAGGAGUGAAAGCGUGGGGAGCGAACAGG